rnacentral:rRNA from 1 species
UACAGAGGUCUCGAGCGUUGUUCGGAUUCAUUGGGCGUAAAGGGUGCGUAGGUGGCGCUGUAAGUCAGGUGUGAAAUUUCGGAGCUUAACUCCGAAACUGCAUUUGAUACUGCGGUGCUUUGAGGACUGGAGAGGAGACUGGAAUUUACGGUGUAGCAGUGAAAUGCGUAGAGAUCGUAAGGAAGACCAGUGGCGAAGGCGGGUCUCUGGACAGUUCCUGACACUGAGGCACGAAGGCCAGGGGAGCAAACGGG